rnacentral:misc_RNA from 1 species
AUUAUUUUGAACGUUGCAAUCGCAGGACUAGGUUUGACAGACAACUAGUAAUUUUGGGAAAGCAACAACUUUUAUAUCAUUGUAUUAUAUCAUUAUAUCGUAUCAUUAUGUCAUAUCAAAAUGUUUUUUGCAACAUUCUGAUUUGUUUUCAAUAUUGAAUACAUUUAAUCUAUUUAGUGAAUUGUAUAAACCAAUUAUCGAAAACUUGUACUUGACGAAGACAAUCACAUCAAGAAGAAAAUGUUUGGUAGGCCAUGCAUCAUGUAAUGCACGCAAGCGAAAAGAGGACUAUGUAAUGGAACAUUAUUUUUAUAAAAUAGGUUUUUAAUCUUUUUUACUUGUGAAUUAUUGUUUGUCUUUUUUUUGUUGUAAAUUAUUGUAAAUUAUUGUUAAGUUUUCAAUAAAUACAAAUUAUAGAU